CGGCGGCCCCUGCUGCAGCGCAGCUUCCGGUUCUGGCCGGAAGUGCCUCGUCGGGACACCGGAAGUCCCGCCUCCGCAGUGAUUGACGGCCGCUGGGGUUGAGACCAGACUGCGAGUCGAGGCGGGCAGAGGUUCGGUCGUCCGUCCCGAACCCAGCCACUCGGCUGCCCCGGUGCUGGCCGGCGACUCCCGAGCCCGAAGAACCGAACCGCCUGGGGGACGCGGAGGUGCCUGGUCUCCGGUUAUCGCGGGAGCGAGUCCCGAGUCCUGGGGUCCGAGGCGAGGACGCCGAAGGGAACGUGUAGCAGCGGGUCCGGUUCGUGAUCCGAGCGCCCGAGGCCGAGGGUGCUGUUACUGUUGGUGCAGACGGGAGAGGCCGUUACCCCGCCCGAGGGGACCCUGAGUCACCGACACCCAGCGAGGUGGCUUUCAUGAUGAGUUGUGUUAAAAGUGGAUCUCGACACGGAUACCCGUGGUGAAAGUAAAAACGGCUCUUUGUGGUUUAGCGAAAGGGACAAAACUUCCAGGAGCUCUGCUGGGUGAAAUCCUACCAGUAAGCACGGAGCACCCCGCUCCUGGCUGGAGGAGGUAUGUGGAUCAUCCUGACACUUUCCCAUUCCAGGUAGAGAGCCUUGCAGCUCUAACACGCCAUGUUUAUUUUAGCUUUGUGGUUGUCAAGGAUACAGGACCUUGGAGCCUGCUUCAUUCUUACCUACACUCCUCCAAUUCUGUGCUCCCCCUGGCUCGCUCGCUCUCUUUUAAGACUCCCCAGUUCCACACAAGGGGGGUGUGGACGUCCUUGUUUCAGCAAGUGAAUAAACCUGUUGGAUUAUAGGUUUGUUUCUGAUGGGCUUUAUCAGAUAGGGGUUAUCACUGUUUAUUGUGGCCAGUCCUCCUGCACACGUCAAGGUAGGACACCUUUAGCUCCAUCUUAGGAGAAAACUGAAGCUGAAUAACGGUAACUUAUGUACUGAUAUCCAUCUAAGCCCUGAAAAGGGCUGGAGGAUUUUUAACUUUAAAGUUUUAGAUUGCCUUUCAGCAGAGAAUGACCAGUUUCUUUUUUUUUUUUAAAGAAAUAUUUUAUUGAUUUUUUACAGAGAGGAAGGGAGAGGGAUAGAAAGUCAGAAACAUCGAUCAGCUGCCUCCUGCACACCCCCCACUGGGGAUGUGCCUGCAACCAAGGUACAGGCCCUUGACCGGAAUUGAACCCGGGACCUCACAGUCCGCAGGCCGAGGCUCUAUCCACUGACCCAAACCAGUUUCGGCCAGUUUCUUUCUAAUUACUGGCAUCCACCAAAUUCAGGUCAGUCCCACCAAGUUAUAGAACAGUUACGUGAAUCUUCCUCUUCUUUGUAAACUGCUUUCUUCUCUCCCCUAAAUUGUGACAAUAUUUGCCUGAUGCUUUAUCCACUGAGCCAAACUGGCUAGGGCUACAUGUCCAAUUCUUUAUGGUUAGUUGAUUUAACCUAACAGCUUUAAUAAGUCAUUUCUUUCUUGUAAAGUAUUGACAUGUUAGAAUACCAUUUAUUAAAUCUAAGUCUCUUUAAA